UCCCCCCAGCCCACUUGACCCUCUUUCAUCUCCGUUCUACUCCUUGUAUCUCGGCCCCCUCGAGCUCGCCUCGAUCCAUGGCCUCUCCUUAAACCUAGAUCCGGUCACGGCCACGGCCGGCUUCGCAGCUCCCGGCCACCAUCGCAUGCGCCUCCCCCCGCAUCUCCCUCAUAUCGCUUGUGCAGCACCGUGGCUAUAUGUCGCCAGCGCCAUCAGCUGCAGCCCCGCUCUAAUCCACCUGCAUGUCAUGGACAAUGGCCAUGGAGGAUGCACCUCCGGCUACUCACUCGUUGUUGGCCUGCCAGUAUCUCCACCAACAUCUCAUCCAUCUAGAUCAGGGGCGCUUUAAUUUCAACAGAUUUUCUUCUUCUUUGCAACAUGGUAAUUUGUUGAGAUAGACUCUUGAUUUUAAUUAUUGCAGAAUGGCGAUCUGCUUUAUGUUGGCUUUAUCAUCUCAGGAUAAUCCAGAUGUUUUCCUAUGCGUUGAGGAGUUGUUGAUGGAUGAUAUACAUAGGCUACCAAGUGGUAGCUCCAAUGUUGCAAUUGAGGUCAACAAUGGGUGCUUCUCCUGGGAUAGCUCACCUGAGAUACCAACACUGAAGGAUCUGAAUUUUCAAGCUCAGCAAGGCAUGCGUGUUGCACUCUGUGGGACGGUCGGCUCUGGAAAAUCAAGUUUGCUCACAUGAAUUCUUUGUAUGGUGCCAAAGCUAUUAGGAGAGGCUAAGACUUGCGGAACAAUGCCAUAUGUCAGCCACACGGCAUGGAUACAGAGCGGCAAAAUUCAGGACAAUACUGCUUGGCAAGGAGAUGGAGAGUAAGAAGUACGGCAGGGUCCUUGAGUGGUAUUCUCUAAAGAAAUACUUGGAGAUCAAAAUCAUUGGAGAGUGAGGCUGCACUCUUAGUGGCAGGCAGAAACAAAGGAUUCAGAUAGCCCGAGCAUUGUAUCAGUAUGCUAACAACUAUUUGUUCCAUGAUUCGUUCAACGCGAUUGAUGCUCAUACAGGAUCCCAAUUUUUCAAGAUCGAUGGUUUCACCGCGGUUGUCGGGAGAAAUAUCAUCAAUGGUAGGGGGAAAGCAGGUACGCCGAGGCGGGCACCCACACCAAGCGGCCGACCCAGGAAGGCAGCCCUGCAGCUCCGCCUCAUGCCACUCCCCAUCUCUAUGUUUGUGUCAGACCCAGCGCAAGGUAGAGGCAGAAGAGGAGGCCGAUAAGAGAAGCUGCAAGGUAGGAGGCUUUUGAUCUGAAGGCAAGUUGGACGAUCUGCUCACAAAGACACACCUCUAUUCUGAAUUUCUACUUGAAAAGAUUGGUCAGAGAAAGUUGUUGAAGUGGAAGAAGAAGAUGAACCUGUAGAAGAGCUGAAAAAGGACGUGGUAGAAAGAAGGAAGCGAAGCCUAAACAGUAUAAUGAUUAUUACCUCGCCCAGCCGCACAUCCAAGACGCGACGCUUGCUGGAAAGCUGGUCAAGUAGGCCCUCGACUGCGACUUUUAGCUGAUUGAUCCUGCACAUUAGCCUUUGCUACAAUAAAGGGACUUACAACAAUGAUGCUUUCUAUAUUGAAUUUUUAUAUUCGACCUCACCAUUGCUUAGUUUCCUUUCCUGAUGUCAAGACACAAAGAAUUUGAGAUUCAAUUUAUCUUUUUUAGUUUUUACA